rnacentral:lncRNA from 1 species
CUUGCGGACAAACAGGGCAUAUGGCCUAUAAUUGUCCUCAGAAUCAGAAGAAUCAGCCUGCUAAUCUACCACCUGCAGUCCCCUUGCAGCAGUUUCCAGCACCUGGUAAUCGUCAGCAGAUAGGCCACGGUGGAGCUUUCCACUACCAAGGGGACGUAGCCCAGAAUCAGGGAGGACAUACCAAUACACACCUGAGGUUCCCUACUAUCAGGGAGGCUAUCAGCAGAUUCAGGGAGGCUAACAGUAGACUCAGGGUGGUUAUUCGCAGUUUCAAGGAGAC